rnacentral:rRNA from 1 species
UACGUAGGGGGCAAGCGUUGUCCGGAUUUAUUGGGCGUAAAGAGCUCGUAGGCGGUUCCGUAAGUCGUGAAGUCAAAUCUCUGGGCUCAACCCAGAAUCGCUUCCGAUACUGCGGUGACUGGAGUCCGGUAGGGGAGUGUGGAAUUCCUGGUGUAGCGGUGGAAUGCGCAGAUAUCAGGAGGAACACCAAUAGCGAAGGCAGCUCGCUGGGACGGUACUGACGCUAAGGCGCGAAAGCGUGGGGAGCGAACAGG